rnacentral:lncRNA from 1 species
GAAGGAGGAACAACAGGAAGAGGAACAGAAGGAGAGGAAAGAGAGGAACGGAGUGAUGGAGAAGCAAGGCUGGAAGCAGAAGGGGAAGAAGCAGGAGGGGAAGAAUAAGGGAAAGUAGGCAGGACAAAGUCAGAACAUGGAAGGAAGGAACAGGAGGAGGAGGAAAAACAGAAGCAGGAGGGGGGCAGAAGAAGCAGAUUGAAAAGGAAA